AGAGUUUGAUCCUGGCUCAGAUUGAACGCUAGCGGAAUGCCUUACACAUGCAAGUCGAACGGCAGCGCGGACUUCGGUCUGGCGGCGAGUGGCGAACGGGUGAGUAAUGUAUCGGAACGUGCCCAGUAGCGGGGGACAACCACUCGAAAGAGUGGCUAAUACCGCAUACGCCCUACGGGGGAAAGGGGGGGAUCGCAAGACCUCUCACUAUUGGAGCGGCCGAUAUCGGAUUAGCUAGUUGGUGGGGUAAAGGCCUACCAAGGCGACGAUCCGUAGCUGGUUUGAGAGGACGACCAGCCACACUGGGACUGAGACACGGCCCAGACUCCUACGGGAGGCAGCAGUGGGGAAUUUUGGACAAUGGGGGAAACCCUGGUCCAGCCAUUCCGCGUGUGCGAUGAAGGCCUUCGGGUUGUAAAGCACUUUUGGCAGGAAAGAAAUCGUGUAGGUUAAUACCCUGCGCGGAUGACGGUACCUGCAGAAUAAGCACCGGCUAACUACGUG
rnacentral:rRNA from 1 species